rnacentral:rRNA from 1 species
GACGAACGCUGGCGGCGUGCCUAACACAUGCAAGUCGAGCGAGUGAAUCUCCUUCGGGAGUGAAGCUAGCGGCGGACGGGUGAGUAACACGUGGGCAACCUGCCUCAUAGAGGGGAAUAGCCUUCCGAAAGGAAGAUUAAUACCGCAUAAGAUUGUAGCUUCGCGUGAAGUAGCAAUUAAAGGAGCAAUCCGCUAUGAGAUGGGCCCGCGGCGCAUUAGCUAGUUGGUGAGGUAACGGCUCACCAAGGCGACGAUGCGUAGCCGACCUGAGAGGGUGAUCGGCCACAUUGGGACUGAGACAUGGCCCAGACUCCUACGGGAGGCAGCAGUGGGGAAUAUUGCACAAUGGGGGAAACCCUGAUGCAGCAACGCCGCGUGAGUGAUGACGGCCUUCGGGUUGUAAAGCUCUGUCUUCAGGGACGAUAAUGACGGUACCUGAGGAGGAAGCCACGGCUAACUACGUGCCAGCAGCCGCCGUAA